rnacentral:lncRNA from 1 species
AGUCACUCCCAAUGCCAUUAAGAUGAUUAUAGUAUUUAUUAUUUGUAGUAAAUUCUCUACCAUAGAACUUAGGAUCUCUCUCUUUAGGGCAUUGUUUAUCCUAAAAAAAUAUUCUUAUGAGAAAAGCUGGUGGUACUUUUCAUCUCGACCUAAAUGUAAAUUUGGUCCUGCCCUUCUGUCUUCUAUACAUAACUGAAAAAAUUAUUUUUUUUUAUUUCUUCUAUGUUCUAUG